rnacentral:rRNA from 1 species
UUGAACGCUGGCGGCAUGCUUUACACAUGCAAAGUCGAACGGCAGCGCGGGCUUCGGCCUGGCGGCGAGUGGCGAACGGGUGAGUAAUAUAUCGGAACGUACCCAAGAGUGGGGGGAUAACGUAGCGAAAGUUACGCUAAUACCGCAUACGAUCUAAGGAUGAAAGCAGGGGACCGCAAGGGCCUUGUGCUCCUGGAGCGGCCGAUAUCUGAUUAGCUAGUUGGUGAGGUAAAGGCUCACCAAGGCAACGAUCAGUAGCUGGUCUGAGAGGACGACCAGCCACACUGGAACUGAGACACGGUCCAGACUCCUACGGGAGGCAGCAGUGGGGAAUUUUGGACAAUGGGGGCAACCCUGAUCCAGCAAUGCCGCGUGAGUGAAGAAGGCCUUCGGGUUUGUAAAAGCUCUUUUGUCAGGGAAGAAAAGGCUGUGGCUAAUAUCCACAGCUGCUGACGGUACCUGAAGAAUAAGCACCGGCUAACUACGUGCCAGCAGCCGCGGUAAUACGUAGGGUGCAAGCGUUAAUCGGAAUUACUGGGCGUAAAGCGUGCGCAGGCGGUUUUCGUAAGUCUGUCGUGAAAUCCCCGGGCUUAACCUGGGAAUGGCGAUGGAGACUGCGAGGCUAGAGUUUGGUAGAGGGGGGUAGAAUUCCACGUGUAGCAGUGAAAUGCGUAGAGAUGUGGAGGAACACCGAUGGCGAAGGCAGCCCCCUGGGUCAAAACUGACGCUCAUGCACGAAAAGCGUGGGGAGCAAACAGGAUUAGAUACCCUGGUAGUCCACGCCCUAAAACGAUGACAACUAGGUGUUGGGGAAGCGAUUUCUCAGUACCGCAGCUAACGCGUGAAGUUGUCCGCCUGGGGAGUACGGUCGCAAGAUUAAAAACUCAAAGGAAUUGACGGGGGACCCGCACAAGCGGUGGAUGAUGUGGAUUAAUUCGAUGCAACGCGAAGAACCUUACCUACCCUUGACAUGUACGGAAGCCCGCUGAGAGGCGGGUGUGCCCGAAAGGGAGCCGUAAACACAGGUGCUGCAUGGCUGUCGUCAGCUCGUGUCGUGAGAUGUUGGGUUAAGUCCCGCAACGAGCGCAAACCCUUGUCCCUAGUUGCUACGCAAGGGCACUCUAGGGAGACUGCCGGUGACAAACCGGAGGAAGGUGGGGAUGACGUCAAGUCCUCAUGGCCCUUAUGGGUAGGGCCUCACACGUCAUACAAUGGCCGGUACAGAGGGUUGCGAAGCCGCGAGGGCGGAGGCCAAUCCCAGAAAGCCGGUCGUAGUCCGGAUUGCAGUCUGCAACUCGACUUGCAUGAAGUCGGAAUCGCUAGUAAUCGCGGAUCAGCAUGUCGCGGUGAAUACGUUCCCGGGUCUUGUACACACCGCCCGUCACACCAUGGGAGUGGGGUGCACCAGAAGUAGGUAGGCUAAACCGCAAGGAGGCCGCUUACCACGGUACGCUUUCAUGACUGGGGUG